ensembl:lncRNA novel transcript
AAAUGCUGAGUCUGCCAGCAACACCAGUGGCUGGGAGAGCCAGAUUCUUCCUAAAACCUCCAGAGGAAGUGAGGCCCUGCUGAUGCCUUGAUUUUGAACUUCUAGCUUCCAAAACGCUGUGCUCCAGUUGAAUGUACCUGUGCAGAUCCCUCUUGGAAACAUGCCCCAUGCCUUCGUUCUGCAGUAACUUGCUCUUCUCAGCUCUAUUUUUGGAGGCCUCAGGGCACUGAUUUUGAAUCUGGGCACCUCUGAAUUGUCACUUCUGACCAACAAGCAGUCUACUUUGUCAACACCUUUUCUUCUGGGACUUGUGUUGCCUGCCUGCUGGAAUUUUUCUCAUCUAGUCCUGCCUUCCACACUCCCCCCAUUAGAGAUGAACUCUUCCUGCGGGGCUGUUUGGCUCCUGGCUGGUCCGCUGGGGCUGUCCCUCAGACUCUGACCUCCCUCGGGCACCGACUUCAUGAAAACACAGCCCUAUCUGAGGGGCACCUGCCCAUGAAGCUGCUCUUCCUAAGCUUUGCAGUACCUGCCACAUUGUCUCCCCACUGCUAAUCAUAUUCUCUCUGCUAUGGUUGUUUAACAUUUUCUUCACAUUUAUAAGCAAUUUUGCGUUACAGAAUCAAAAGACCUUCACAUUAUGUCUUAUUCCCACCACGAAAUUUUAGGUUCUCUAAAUUGUGAGUACUCCUUAUGAUACUCCACAUGAUAAAUAUAUGUGAAAUACAUUUUUAGAAAUAUAAAUAUGGAAUUGUAUGCACACACAUAGAUCUUUUGGGAACUGGCUCAUUGGUCAUACCAAUUUUGGAAAAUAAUUAAUAAAAAUGUAAAGCCAAUGAAAACGUCAA